GACGAACGCUGGCGGCGUGCCUAAUACAUGCAAGUUGAGCGCUGAAGGUUGGUACUUGUACCAACUGGAUGAGCAGCGAACGGGUGAGUAACGGGUGGGGAAUCUGCCUUUGAGCGGGGGACAACAUUUGGAAACGAAUGCUAAUACCGCAUAAAAACUUUAAACACAAGUUUUAAGUUUGAAAGAUGCAAUUGCAUCACUCAAAGAUGAUCCCGCGUUGUAUUAGCUAGUUGGUGAGGUAAAGGCUCACCAAGGCGAUGAUACAUAGCCGACCUGAGAGGGUGAUCGGCCACAUUGGGACUGAGACACGGCCCAAACUCCUACGGGAGGCAGCAGUAGGGAAUCUUCGGCAAUGGACGAAAGUCUGACCGAGCAACGCCGCGUGAGUGAAGAAGGGUUUCGGAUCGUAAAACUCUGUUGGUAGAGAAGAACGUUGGUGAGAGUGGAAAGCUCAUCAAGUGACGGUAACUACCCAGAAAGGGACGGCUAACUACGUG
rnacentral:rRNA from 1 species